UACGGAGGGGACUAGCGUUGUUCGGAAUUACUGGGCGUAAAGCGCGCGUAGGCGGUUUUGUUAGUCAGGUGUGAAAUCCCGAGGCUCAACCUCGGAACUGCCUUUGAUACUGCAAAUCUCGAGUCCGGAAGAGGUGAGUGGAAUUCCUAGUGUAGAGGUGAAAUUCGUAGAUAUUAGGAAGAACACCAGUGGCGAAGGCGGCUCGCUGGUCCGGUACUGACGCUGAGGUGCGAAAGCGUGGGGAGCAAACAGG
rnacentral:rRNA from 1 species